rnacentral:lncRNA from 1 species
UGACGAGCUCCGCCUCGCCCCUAGCGGCCUCCAUGGUGGGGUUGGGCGGAAUAUAGUGAAUCGCCGGAGGGAGGCAGGUCUCCUCCCCGAGGCCCGAGCGCUCGAGGAUCCUCAUCUGGAACUCGACGCUCUUGGGGUUGUUGCUGAGGUUGAGGCGGGAGUGCUCCAUGAAGGUGGAGAAGGGGACGCGGCAGGUGACUGGAGGCUUGAAACAGGCGUAGUCGACGAGGUAGAUGGAGCGGGGUUUGGACAUAAAGUAGACGGUGGCGAUGAAGAUGAUGAGGAAUGAGGAGCAGAGGAUUUGGACGAGAUCGAAGUGAAGUGAGUCCCAGAGCUUGAGAAGCUCGUCGGGGCCGAGGCGGAUGACCUCCAGUAGGAUUCCGGCCAUGAUGAGGAUGAGAGUGAGGGUAAGAAUGUGGUUGACGAGGUACUGGUAGCCGAGCUUGACAUACUUGAGCUUGACGG